AUACUUACCUGGCAGGGGAGACACCAUGAUCAAGAAGGCGGUUCACCCAGGGCGAGGCUCGUCCAUUGCACUCCGGCCGUGCUGACCCCUGCGAAUUCCCCAAAUGUGGGAAUCUCGACUGCAUAAUUUGGAU
rnacentral:snRNA from 1 species